rnacentral:lncRNA from 1 species
CCUAUCCCUCAUAUGUAAACAAAUUUUGAUGAUUUGAGAUUAAUCCAAGUGUUUUCGAAGCCGAGCUGCUGAGUGUUCUUACACAACCCUGUUCUUCCAUAUUCAUCUUGAACUUGUGGGGAGAUCUCUCUGAGAUCCACUAAUUCAUGCUCUACGGGUUUCAGUACGGCUGCCCCGUCUUGUGUGGAUUAGCUCCUGCUGUGGUUCUGCGGUCGUUCGGAGAUCGAGUCGAAGUCUUCAGGGUUUCGGUGCCUCUCUCCCCGUCGCUUGGUCGCAUCCAACCUUGGCAGGUAUAAAACUAGUUAUCCGUUGUUCUUCAGAAACAUUACCCUCUUCAUAUCGUUGUUCGUCAGCAAGUUAUCAUAUUUUCGCUGUUACUUAGUAAGUAAUCUAGUUUAUAGACCUACUGCCGUGAAGAUCGGGCCAACCUUAGUACCGAUCUCGGGUCGGUACCUAUCACGUGGUAUCAAAGCUUUCCGUUGUCACGGUAGAUCUUAUCACCAUCCAUAUAUUUAUCCUUGUUGAUCUAUUACAUAUAUUUGUUUUGUCCUACAGUCCAAAGCCAUAAAAAAUUACCUAUAACCCUUGGCGGUACUGUUUCCGUAUGUUUUUGUGUUCUUCAAGUUGCUAUUCACCAUUUUUAUAUAUUUCACAUUGUGUUUCAUUGGUUAUCCGCACCCCUCUUGGUAUAAAAAAAAUAAAAAAUAAAUAAAAAAAGAGAGGAAAACAAAAGAAAAGAAGUUCAAGGGGAUUUGUUGCGGUUUGUUUUCUGAAACUUUCAGAUUAUAUUUUGAGUUUGGUGGUGUUCUUGAUAGCAGUAAUUCACAUCUAUAGAAUACAUCAAACCACUUGGUUUACAGUACCGUAUUCCUCCUUGUUUAACCACCGAUAGCUCCACACAAAAAACUAAAACUGGGACGUCGACUCGUAAUCCUUGCGACCUCAGAGUCACUUUUGUUGAUGCUGCCACAACAAGCACAACCACAGUCCAUGAGAUCUGGAGAAUUGGGUAAGUAUGAGGUGAGAUUGAGUGUAUCCACAAAUAUUUUUUAUUUCCAUUCCACUUUUGUGCUGCCCCUAAUAUGGUAGGAUCCGACUCAAGUGUUCAUGGUGGGCACCGCAGUGAUGGGGAUCCCCCUGUCUCCCGGGCUG